rnacentral:lncRNA from 1 species
UUCAGCUACUCCAAGAAGGAAGAUGAAGGUGGGAACUGCUGCAGCUGUCUCAUGGCCAAUGGGAAACAGCUGGCGGGCAAAGCUCAUGGAAGGAACUCGUAUCUGAUGACCAAGUCUAAAAGCCUUCAGCUCUGAGUUGUUGGCUUUGCUUCAUACCAGCUUCAAUCCUGUUCAGUGUUGCUGGGAGAUAACAAAUCGGCAGGCUCAGAACAAGCAGAGGCUCCCCAGCAAAGGUGCGAAGACCAUUAGGGCUUCCAGGAGACCCUCACCUUAGCACGGAGGAAUGAAGCACCAACAGUUUUUCUCUCAGGUGGACCGGAAGAAGGUACGUGGAGCACCAGGCUUAAAAUCAGAGAGGAAGGUGCCUGGAAAGAUAGGGAGCCCUGCCACAGGCCCCAGAGAGCUGCGCACACCCACACGAAUGACAACUCAGAGGUCUCAGGAUUGCUGGGACGAGGCACACAGC